GGGGCUGCAUUGGUUUCGACGUGGGUUCGGACGCGGUGUGGUGCAUGUCGAGCUGAGUGUGCUCGUAAAACUGAUUCAAACAAACUAACUGCAAACGACGAACGUUUCGCACUCGCU
rnacentral:tmRNA from 1 species